rnacentral:rRNA from 1 species
UACAGAGGGUGCGAGCGUUAAUCGGAAUUACUGGGCGUAAAGCGCACGUAGGCGGCUUUGCAAGUUAGAGGUGAAAGCCCGGGGCUCAACUCCGGAAUUGCCUUUAAAACUGCAUCGCUAGAGUUGUGGAGAGGUAAGUGGAAUUCCGAGUGUAGAGGUGAAAUUCGUAGAUAUUCGGAAGAACACCAGUGGCGAAGGCGACUUACUGGACACAUACUGACGCUGAGGUGCGAAAGCGUGGGGAGCAACAGG